GCAGCAGCCACGGUAAUACGUAGGGUGCGAGCGUUAAUCGGAUUUACUGGGCGUAAAGCGUGCGCAGGCGGCCCGUUAAGGCAGGUGUGAAAUCCCUGGGCUCAACCUAGGAAUUGCGCUUGUGACUGGCGGGCUCGAGUACGGUAGAGGGGGGUGGAAUUCCUGGUGUAGCAGUGAAAUGCGUAGAGAUCAGGAGGAACACCGAUGGCGAAGGCAGCCCCCUGGGCCUGUACUGACGCUCAUGCACGAAAGCGUGGGGAGCAAACAGGAUUAGAUACCCGGGUAGUCCCUGUCUCUUAUAC
rnacentral:rRNA from 1 species